rnacentral:rRNA from 1 species
GACGAACGCUGGCGGCGUGCCUAACACAUGCAAGUCGAACGAGGUCCAUCCUUCGGGAGAAGACCUAGUGGCGAACGGGUGAGUAACACGUGAGGAACCUGCCCCGAAGACCGGGAUAACCCUCCGAAAGGAGAGCUAAUACCGGAUACCCCCACCGAGCCGCAUGGUUUGGUGAGGAAAUGGAUUCCGCUUCGGGAGGGGCCUCGCGGCCUAUCAGCUAGUUGGUGGGGUAACGGCCCACCCAAGGCAUCGACGGGUAGCUGGUCUGAGAGGACGAUCAGCCACACUGGGACUGAGACACGGCCCAGACUCCUACGGGAGGCAGCAGUGGGGAAUCUUGCGCAAUGGGCGAAAGCCUGACGCAGCAACGCCGCGUGGGGGA